rnacentral:rRNA from 1 species
ACACUCCUACGGGAGGCAGCAGUGGGGAAUCUUGCGCAAUGGGCGAAAGCCUGACGCAGCCAUGCCGCGUGAAUGAUGAAGGUCUUAGGAUUGUAAAAUUCUUUCACCGGGGACGAUAAUGACGGUACCCGGAGAAGAAGCCCCGGCUAACUUCGUGCCAGCAGCCGCGGUAAUACGAAGGGGGCUAGCGUUGCUCGGAAUUACUGGGCGUAAAGGGAGCGUAGGCGGACAUUUAAGUCAGGGGUGAAAUCCCGGGGCUCAACCUCGGAAUUGCCUUUGAUACUGGGUGUCUUGAGUAUGAGAGAGGUGUGUGGAACUCCGAGUGUAGAGGUGAAAUUCGUAGAUAUUCGGAAGAACACCAGUGGCGAAGGCGACACACUGGCUCAUUACUGACGCUGAGGCUCGAAAGCGUUGGGAGCAAACAGGAUUAGAAACCCUUGUAGUCCCAUG